AUGGGAGAGGCCACAACAGUGAGAGGCCCACAUACCGCAAAAAAAAAAAAGUCUUUGGAAAAAGCAACAUACUAGUGGGUUAAAUAAAAAUGCCUAACACUGAGAGUUUUUAAUAUUUUUAAGAGCACUGUUACACUUCUCAGUUGGAAUUGGUUUGGAAUGGGAAGGGAUAUUUUCAGCUUGAAACUCACUUGUGUAACCCUCUCUGAUUACAAGUCCUUUGAUUUUGUGUAGGAAGCCAACCAGGAGACUUUUUAGAGCGAAAACUCACACUAAGAAAGAUUUGUCUCAGGAUACAACCCCUGGUGGACCCAAAAUAUAUGAGUCAAGAGAUAAGAAACUACUAUUUUUUAUUAUGACAAACAUAAUCCAUAUCAUUUAAGAAAAAGUGGAGAUGAGUGAGCAAAGAAAAAAAGAAUCAUACAUGUUGGGAGCCAUAGGACGGUAGAGGACCCAGGAGAAGGUGUAGCAGCGCCCACUGACAUGGUUACAACUAGGGAAAGACAGGGGAUGGGCACACCUUCAGGCGAAUGGCAUGGAGGUACCAUCAGGCGAUUGGAUUCAUUUUUGAGUGCAGUGUACCAUGAACAUCUCCUCCAUGCACAUGGGUGAAAAUCCCCUACUGAAACACAGAGAGCACUGUAGUUGGAUCAAAAGGCUGCUGGUAACGAGAGUGACACCUAAAGCAAAGAAUCAGCUUAAGGUUAAAGCACAUAGCCUGGCAAAUGCCUGCCAGGG